GUUGGGAUUCACAUCCAGUGCAAUACCUAGGGUAUUGCACGGGGUGCAAUACCUCAAAUCUCAGCCGACUGUGUAAUCCAAGGCUCAUUAAUUUGACACGUUAUAACUCCAGCCUGGCAAUCCGUGUCUCCCACUUUUUCUUUUUCAUUUCAGCUACCCAAUUUGAAUUCAGUAAAACUCUUUCUCUCCCACCUCAACUGGGUUUCUCUUUCUCUCCCUAACGCUCCAUUCUCUCAACCCGACUGUGCUUCCACCACUCUCUCAACCUCCACACUUGCUCUGUGCGUCUCCCUCAAGUCCUCAACCCCUUCAUCACCGUUACCAGCAUACCCAACUCAGACCCAUCAGCAAAAACAAAGAAAAAAUAGCAACUCACCAUCUGAAACCAAAUCCCCAAACACUCACACGCCUCGUAGAGCACUUUUUAGACCCAGAUGAGAGAGAGAGAGAGCGAGAGCAAGGGUUGAGGUUUGGAGAGAAUCGGGUGUAGAGAGAAGUGGAUGCUUUUGGGGUUUGAUCUAGGGAGGGAAAUGAGAUUGAGAAAUUUGGUCCGAAGAAGCCACCAUCGGAGGUGGUGCUGAGUGGUGGUUGUGAUGAGCCAUGGCAGCAGAGAGAGGAAGAGGCUGACUGGUCCGACUUGGACUUUUAUGCUUCAUCACAUAUAUUUGCUCAAUUCUAGAAGCUCCUUGAAGAGAACUUAUUUAGGGGAAGGACAACCAAUUUCUUUUACAUGCUCUUACUCGAAGCCACUUUUUGAACCGGAAUUGUUCUUGGGGAAUGAUACGUUGUUGGAGUCACAAUGUUAUGUUGUAUUGUAGAUUGAAUUCUGGUUUUUUGCUUGUUAGAAAUUAGUGCGACACUUUGAUAACUAUAGAUAUGCAUUUGAUUUAUUAUCCAUUACAUUCACUUUUUCUAUGGUUAUUGUGGUCCUUAUAUUCAUCAUAAAUUUGUAAUUGAACUUUUGUUGUGCUACUAUAUAAUUAUAGUGUUAGAGAAGUUGGUUA